AGGAGCGCCUCAUUUCUAAAGCAGAAGAAGUUCACUCGCUGGUUUGGUUUUGGGCAGUGAGUUGAACGCGAGGCAGACCGACUUGUGCGGAAGAAGUCGCUUAUUUUUGCGGUUUUUGAUCCCCAAAUACCCGACAGACGAGGCAAAUCCAUUUUAAUUACACACUCGUGUGUGUGCGCUCGGACUUUUACAAACAGGUAGGCUCUAUCGUAGCCGAGAUAUAAAGUGUUUUGAGAAAGGCUGCUAGGCCUCACAGGUUAAUCACCAUGAGUUACGGUAGGCCUCCGCCAGACGUCGACGGCAUGACUUCCCUCAAAGUGGACAACUUAACGUACCGAACUUCGCCCGAAACCCUCAGACGCGUGUUCGAAAAGUAUGGCCGUGUAGGGGACGUGUAUAUUCCCCGAGACCGUUACACGAAAGAAAGUCGGGGUUUCGCUUUUGUGCGGUUCCACGACAAACGUGACGCCGAGGACGCAAUGGACGCCAUGGAUGGCGCGCUCCUGGAUGGACGGGAGUUGCGAGUCCAGAUGGCCCGCUACGGCAGACCCCCCGAUUCUCACUACGGCGGUAGUGGUGGUGGUGGCGGCGGUGGAGGCGGCGGCGGAGGAGGUGGAGGAGGCCGGCGCGGAGGGCAGACCAGGAGGUACGGCGGCCAUGGACGCAGAAGCAGAAGCUCUUCCCCCAGCCCGAGACACAGAAGACGCAGCAGGUCCCGCAGCAGGAGCCGCUCUCGUUCCCGAAGCCGAUCCCGCUACAGCAGAUCCAGGUCCCGCUCCUACUCCCGAUCCAAGUCUCACUCUCCCAGGAACAAGAAGGCCAAGUCCCCGUCUCGUUCCAGAUCUAGAUCCAGGUCCCGCUCCAAGUCUAAGUCUAAGUCCAAGUCCAAGUCCAGGUCCAGAAGCCCUUCCUACAAAAGAGGUUCCAGGUCGAGAUCUAAAAGCCAGCCCAAGUCAGCAGCAGAAAAUGGAGGCGAAACCCCGUAGAGCUCAGCUUCAGCUGCGGCAUCCUGUUUGCUAAAGUGGAGUUUGAGCUGAGGCAGUAUGAGCAGUUAGAAGGUGUGUGGUGAGCUGCCCACAGGCCGCCUGCUGCUGGUGAGGGUUUCUGUGCAGCAGGGUGGAGGCAGGCAGUGUUGGGGUUUGGUGUUGAGGUACGUCUGUCGGUGUCCGGCAUUGAACAUAAAACUGUCCUCCAGGCCUCGUCCCGGGCCGGGGGACGCUGGUGCUUGAGGGGCACUGAGUUUUCAGGUGAAGACUGAAAGCUUCAAGUCCAAGACUGGCUCCAACGCAAGCAACAGUGUCCUGCUUUAAAAGGCGCAGUUGUGUAGCAGUUGAGUAUUGCUGGUUAGCUGUUAAGGUGGCGUGUUGCUCUGCUGAGUGCUUGGAUGUAUCCAGUAUUCUCCAGAAUGCUCCUGUGACUACCAGUGGUACGGUUGCUACAGUCUCACCCUUUGUAAGAUGAAAUGUUUUUUCCCAUAUGGUUAUGGAUGACAAAUGUAACUUUCAUUAAAGAUUUGGUGUUUUGUCUAAAA